CAGUCGUAAACUAUGCGCGUUAGGUGUACUGGUGACCACGAGUCACCGGGUGCCGAAGGGAAACCGUGAAACGUGCCGCCUGGGAAGUACGGUCGCAAGGCUGAAACUUAAAGGAAUUGGCGGGGGAGCACCACAACGGGUGGAGCCCGCGGUUUAAUUGGACUCAACGCCGGAAAUCUCACCGGAUAGGACAGACAUAUGAUAGUCGGGCUGAAGACUCUACUUGAUGAUCUGAGAGGUGGUGCAUGGCGUCAGUGACU
rnacentral:rRNA from 1 species